GAAACCCCCUCCCCGAUAGACUAAGGUUUCCUGCUCAACGCUAAUCGGAGCAGGGUUAGUCGGGACCUAAGGCUAAGCCGAGAGGCUACGUCGAUGGACAGCUAGUUGAUAUUCUAGCACCUAGGAUUUGGAGUGAUGCAGUGACGCAGGAGUGAAAGUACCGCGAGCGGACGGAAGUGCUCGUUGAAGGGCGUAGGUA
rnacentral:rRNA from 1 species